UGUUCACAUUUACAUCGUUGCCUUGUUAUUUAUAGAUCAUUCACAUUGGCUCAUGUGCAGACACAAGUUCAGGCGGCCCGUGCGCAGCUUCGGGCAUGCGAAGGGCGUCCGCGGACCCCCGCAAAGGUGGUAACGCUGAGAGGAGGAGACAGGCGAGGAGUGCAUCACUUUUGCCGGACAGGAUGUGUUGUUGCGACAAGAUGCACACGUCUGUCGGGACGACUAUAAAUAAACUAGUUCUCUCUGUCCCUCCCUCUUUCUCUCGCCCACUAUGGUAGGUUGACAGACCGAUCAAUAUCUAGACAGGAGAGAUUUAUAGAGGUCUUCAAUUUCCACUCGAUCGACAUUAACAAUGCAUGUUAGAUUAAAGAGUCCCAACUGACCUCAGCAGAGCUUUAAAUGACCAUAUGUUUUAAUUACAUACAUAACAUGAUCCGACUGUUGUGGGAAUGUCGCUUCAGUCAAUAACGAUUCCCUUUCCACAUCACUCCGUUUCAUCCAGAUUGUCAGAUUGAUUUUCGUCGGGAAAUAUGAGAGGAAAUGAUCUUCUGCCUGGAUGCAUGGAGCAGGAAAUGAGUUUACGCUGAACUCUCCUCGACAAAUGGAGAACAUUUCCAAUUGGCAGAGCGCAGCACAACCUUAGGACGACUUUACUUUCACAUAACUGUCUGACAUCCCAUCUAAGCUCAUGGCUUGUCUGGUUGUGGAAGCUCAUUUAAAGGGCUUUUCCAAGAACCUUUUGAGGAGCUUAGGAACUUUACCUACCGUUCGUCCAGUGGAAAAAACAAAGUUGAAUUCCCAUAGAAUAGUUCCAGAUGGCAAACAGUCGCUGCUCUGAGGCGAGUUCCCUCUGAUUAAAAAAAAGAAUAAGGCUUGACUGUCUCGGCUGUGGCAAGGGGUAAUUUUUAAUGAAUGAAUUCUUUGUCAACAAAGAUGAUUUUGUUUCUCAAACUCUAGAUAAGAUAAAUUCUUUUGCGGGUUCUGUGUCAUGUUUAUUAUGAAAUGUCUCUUGGAAGGCCGGUGAUGCAAAAUAUAAAAAAAAAAAUUAGGAUGCUCAGGAAUGAAAAUAGCAUUUUUGUUUCGAUCCCCCGGGAAUAGUGUUACCAGCUGCUUUACCGUCUCCCACCACAAGAUGCCUGAGGUGUACUUCGGCUGUGAUUUUCCAUCUUACUGUAUGUCACAUUAACAUUUUUAACAUCUUUGUAUGUCAAUUCAGUCUUACUUUGUAUGUGACACUCAGUGCAAGUAGUUUCUUGUGAAGAAUUUUGAGCUGUCCCCGUUUUAUUCUCUGAACAUCAUCACAAUCUGAAUAGGAAACGUGAACAGCAUCUAUUAACAACAAAGACAAAACUCGAAUGCGAGUUGAGUGCAAAUACCAAACUCGCUUGUGCUCACCAUCUCUUUUCUAAUUAUCCCUUCUGAGGAAAGGCUGACAAGUAAAGAGUGAUUAUGAUCGCCUCAAGUCUUUAGCUUUUUUAAUUUAUUUGAUGAAUGACAUGCCAUCCUGGCCACACCCCUUACUUUCCUCGACCUGAGGCGCUGUGACAUUUAUUAUUAUUAUUAUUAUUAUUAAAUAGACUGCAACCUGUACCACACAUUAACUUCUGCAGUCCACCCUCUCUGUCCAUCUGGGCAUGCUUGUUUGAGAUUGGUUAUUGCGAAGUGAGCGACGUACUCGAUAAUGACAGCUGGCACUUCGUUAAAACAACAAUAAAGAUUAGGGCUGCAACUAACGAUUAUUUUCAUAAUCGUUUAAUCUGAGAAUUUUGACUUUUUCAUCCAUAAAAAAAUACUUGAACCGAUUAAUCGAUUAUCAAAUUAGUUGGCGAUUAGUUUAGUAAUCAAUUACUAAUCGGUUAACUGUUGCAGCUCUAAUUAAGAUAUUAUCGUAGACGAUACAUAUCGCACACCCCCAGCUGGGAUAGAAUAUUACCUUAUCACUGCCCAAAGCUAUUUCACCUAGACAAUUUCUCAUUGGUGCCCGAGCACUGGAGGUGACGGGCCGAGAGCCGCUCUGCUGAAGUAACGGGCCAAAACACACACAUUAGGGUGGUGUAAAAAGAACACCGAAGAAGAGGAAACACGUCGGCACCAGUAGAAAGACCACGAGCAACAAAGGAACAGCCAAUGUGGCAAGCGAGCAGCAGGUUCGCCGCAGCUCCCCUUGGAGGGUCCGUUUGUCCUCCCUCUCCUCCUGGGGCUCGGCGCCCGGCUCGGACCUCAGCUUUUGCAACAAGCUCUCGUCUUGUUGUGACACUCUCCCUGUGAGGACGUCAGCUUCGCACCUUCGUCUGUCCUCUUCGUAUGAGGCUCUGACUCUCUCCAGUUCUUCUUGGAGAAUCUGUUUUCCCUCUCUCUCCACCUGGAGCUCAGCAUCAUGGACAGCCAUCAGCUUGUGCAACCAGAAGUUGUCCUCUCUCUCCCCCUCUGCGCGAGACUCGAUCUCCCUGUCGAGCUGAAGCUGAAGGCCGUGGGCCCACUGCGUCACUGUGAGGACGUCAGCUUCAUACCUCUGUCCGUCCUCUUCGUAUGAGGCUCUGACUCGCUCCAGUUCUUCUUGGAGAGUCUUGGUUUUCUCCCUCUCCAGCUGCAGCUCCUCUGCCAUCCCUCGGUGACAGGUGUCCUGCUUAGCCCUCAGGUUUAUGACAUAGGUUCUGGGGUUCUGUAACUCCCUGUCUCCCUGAGAGCCCCAACGAAAUGUGUUCUGGCUGUUGUCUUGCUGACAGUCUUUCCUACGCAGUUUCUGAGGAGCGGCAGACUGCGUGCCUUCUUUUGAAAGGUCCCCGUUCGAACCUCUGACCCUUUGAGGGAUUUUACUUCUUGGGUGCAUGGCGUGUGAUGUGGUGGUGGAAUCAGCUUCUAAAUAACCUUGAUGUGUAAAGUUAGAGCUGUUUGCUGGUCAGAUGUUGUCUGAUCCGAAUUCUUCCGCACAAUGUGAGAGAUCUGCAGCCCCACAUGCAUAAGAGAUCUGAUGAUGUCACCAUCGAACGCCUGUGAAGUGGCCUUUCAAGUGAACUUUGAAGUGAUUUGAAGGUCUACUGUUUAUGUUUUGCUUGUUUACAAUAAGAAAUGUGAGAUUCAAAUGUUAACAGAGAAGCUGCCCCACUCUUCAAACCUGUUUCUAAACGCGGUUCUAAGAAUGGAUUCUGGGAUGGAGGGGGCACCUGCAAAUUUUUGAGGCUGUUGUGAAAUUUGGUAUUCCCAUGAAAUAUUGUUCCCACUACUCAGGAACAGAGGCUUGGCCCUGGGUGUGGUUUUGUAGGCAUGUGGGACCCCUCAAGACGAACAACUUUCAUGACACGUUGCAUUAAUCAUGCUCAACAGGAAGAGAUGAAUAAAAAGCCGGACGGACACUGACAACUUUUGAGUUUAUUGGAUUUGCCGGUGGAGAGAUCUCCAUCCCUGCUUCUCCCUUUGUUGCCUGUCUGUGCCGGGGACGACUGGAGGCCGAGGACCCUUCAUCCUAAUCGGCUUGAGAUCUUGGCCGCAGGUCAGG